rnacentral:rRNA from 1 species
UGGGGAAUAUUGGACAAUGGGCGCAAGCCUGAUCCAGCCACGCCGCGUGAGUGAUGAAGGCCUUCGGGUCGUAAAGCUCUGUGGGGCGAGACGAACCGCUGGGAGUGCAUAGCUUCCAGCAUGACGGUAUCGCCUUAGCAAGCACCGGCUAACUUCGUGCCAGCAGCCGCGGUAAUACGAAGGGUGCAAACGUUGCUCGGAAUCAUUGGGCGUAAAGCGCACGUAGGCGGUCCACCAAGUCGGAUGUGAAAUCCCUCAGCUCAACUGAGGACGUGCAUUCGAAACUGGCGGACUUGAGUACCAAAGAGGAUUGCGGAAUUCCCGGUGUAGAGGUGAAAUUCGUAGAUAUCGGGAGGAACACCAGUGGCGAAGGCGGCAAUCUGGGUGGAUACUGACGCUGAGGUGCGAAAGCGUGGGGAGCAAACAGG